rnacentral:rRNA from 2 species
UACGGGGGGCAGCAGUGGGGAAUAUUGCACAAUGGGCGCAAGCCUGAUGCAGCCAUGCCGCGUGUAUGAAGAAGGCCCUAGGGUUGUAAAGUACUUUCAGUCGGGAGGAAGGCGUUGAUGCUAAUAUCAUCAACGAUUGACGUUACCGACAGAAGAAGCACCGGCUAACUCCGUGCCAGCAGCCGCGGUAAUACGGAGGGUGCAAGCGUUAAUCGGAAUUACUGGGCGUAAAGCGCACGCAGGCGGUUGAUUAAGUUAGAUGUGAAAUCCCCGGGCUUAACCUGGGAAUGGCAUCUAAGACUGGUCAGCUAGAGUCUUGUAGAGGGGGGUAGAAUUCCAUGUGUAGCGGUGAAAUGCGUAGAGAUGUGGAGGAAUACCGGUGGCGAAGGCGGCCCCCUGGACAAA